rnacentral:lncRNA from 1 species
GUUUGACUUCAUUCAGGCGUCAUCUGCCCGGGGACCAGAAAGUUUGCUCUGUAUUGCUUGAAACAUGCACUCGGGGAACUUAGAAACAUCACUUUGAGAGCCUAAAACAAAACCUGCACCUGUCCCAAGGCUGAUGUGCAGAGCUGGAGCUUGAGAACUCAGAACCCUUGUGGGGGUACUCGUGGGGGAGAAUUGUUCUGAACCCCAGUGCCACUCCUCAAUUCCAGGCCUCUUUCUUCCAGAGCACGGAGGGCCUGCGUAGAUGUGCAGUCCUCGGCCUUCUGGAGGCCGAAACCCAUCUGCCAACUGCUCAGCAGGGACCAGGAGAAAAGCGGAAUGGGAAAGGAAGAGGAAGCAGAGAAAGUUCUGGGCCCGUUGCGGAGGAGGCCCUGCCUGGGAUGCACCCCCGCCCGGGGCCAGCUGACCCGUGACCGCUCCUCCUGGUGCCAGGCGACGCCCGCGCCCUGGAGUUCGCUCGACCCCAGUCCCAUUUUCUUUCUCCGCUGCACAUCAAUGCGUGUAAACACGGCUUCGGAGCGGCUGCCCACUUUCUGUGUUCGACUUCUCUUUUUCAGCAAAGCAAUAGGCAGUAGACAAGAAUGUUACACCACUAGGAGAAUCCGUUUAAGCGUGUGUUUGAGGUAAACCCUCCUAAUUAAGUCAACUUUAACACAGACACGCAAAUGGCACCCUGCAUAUGUGUCUGGCGCCUAAUAUCGGCUGCUGAGCCCAAAGGAAGUCAGGCAGCAGCAGGGCCGAGGAGACAGUUUAUACACUCAGCCUCUCCUUCCUUUAACCUUUCUACUAGAAAACUGUUUGUGUGGUGGGGGCUGGGCAGGCAGCUUCCCACUCGGGCUAGUGCCUGAAUCAGUGAGGCUAAGAUGCAGAUGCUCAGACUUUGCUCCGAUGCUCACAGCGUUUCUGGGUCCAUCUUGCCCAAGGAAAACCUGUGAUGAGUUUGAAUGACUGAAAGCCAAAAAAAGAAAGAAUCCAGCUUUGAAGCUCUGUAUAGCCUCGGGUUUCUCCAUUGAGGAGCAUAUCAGAGAGCUUCAUCAAGAACAUUCCAGAGGGCUUUAUCUUAUAUGGACUAGAACUUGGUGGGGUAACGUGGGAAGAGUAACAUUUGUAAUGCUUUACCAAGCUGGCAUUUUAGGAGACUUAAGUAGUUAGCGAUUGGAACAUCAAUGUUUUUGGUGGCCCCAAGUGACACAUAAAAGGAAUAACCUUCCCUCAAUUGCUGUUGAGGGACUGCUAGAGGGUCAGUUACUCUGGGCUAAGAGUGAAUGGGAAAAGUCCUGUUAGGUGAUCUAGUUAGACAUCAUUCCUUCUUCCAGACUUACAGAGUAUAGCAGUCAGACAUCAUUAGUUCAUCCAGACUUACACAGAAUAGCAAUCAGGCAUCAUUAGUUCAUCCAGACAUAUUGACUGUAACAAUUACAUGUCUUGUCACCCUGUCAGAACCACUGGCAACCCAAAUGUAGAGUAAGACUUAAAAAGGUAAAAUAAAAAAUCUCCAGAAGCGUUGUGUACUGGCUGG